CCGGCGUGCGCCCCAGACACGGUGACUCCGGUCCGCGCGAGCCUCCUCCCCUCACCGCGACCCUACCAGGCCCCGCAGCCCAGCUGCCCCAGCCAUGGACGCCCCGGACCCGCAGCCCGACCCCGACGGUGGGGACGGCCCAGGCCACGAGCCUGGGGGCAGUCCCCAGGACGAGCUGGACUUUUCCAUCCUCUUCGAUUAUGACUAUCUGAAACCCAUCGAAGAAGAACAGAACGCACAUAAGGCCAUCAGCUCACCCUCCGGAAUCGCAUACCCGGAUGAUGUCCAGGACUAUGGCCUCAAGCCAGUCAACCCCCUCGCCAGUUUCUCUGGCGAGCCCCCCGGCCGGUUUGGAGAGCCGGAUAGGAUAGGGUUCCAGAACUUUCUGAGUCCGGCCAAGCCACCAGGGGCUUCGGGCCCGAGCCCUCGGAUCGAGAUCACUCCAUCCCACGAACUGAUGCAGGCAGGGGGGGCCCUCCGUGGGAGAGAUGCCGGCCUGCCCCCCGAGCAGCCGGCCCUGGCCCUGGCCGGCAUGGCUGCCAGCCCGAGGUUCACACUGCCCGUGCCCGGCUUUGAGGCCUACCGCGAGCCGCUUUGCUUGAGCCCCGCUAGCAGCGGCUCCUCUGCCAGCUUCAUUUCUGACACCUUCUCCCCCUACACCUCGCCCUGUGUCUCGCCCAAUAACGCCGGGCCCGACGACCUGUGUCCCCAGUUUCAAAACAUCCCUGCUCCUUAUUCCCCCAGAACCUCUCCAAUAAUGUCACCUCGAACCAGCCUCGCCGAGGACAGCUGCCUGGGCCGACACUCGCCCGUGCCCCGUCCGGCAUCCCGCUCUUCCUCACCCGGUGCCAAGCGGAGGCAUUCGUGCGCAGAGGCCUUGGUUGCCCCUCUGCCCGCAUCCUCACCCCAGCGCUCCCGGAGCCCCUCGCCACAGCCCUCGCCUCACGUGGCACCCCAGGACGACGGCAUCCCCGCUGGGUACACCCCCACGGCUGGCUCUGGUGUUCUCAUGGAAGCCCUCAACAGCCUGGCCACCGACUCGCCCUGCGGGAUCCCCUCCAAGAUAUGGAAGACCAGUCCUGACCCGACUCCCGUGUCCACCGCCCCGUCCAAGGCGGGCCUGGCCCGUCACAUCUACCCUGCCGUGGAGUUCCUGGGGCCAUGUGAGCAGGAGGAAAGGAGGAAUUCCGCUCCUGAGUCCAUCCUGCUGGUACCACCCAGCUGGCCCAAGCAGCUGGUGCCAGCCAUUCCCAUCUGCAGCAUCCCUGUGACUGCAUCCCUUCCUCCACUAGAGUGGCCACUCUCCAGUCAGUCAGGCUCCUAUGAGCUGCGGAUCGAGGUCCAGCCCAAGCCCCAUCACCGGGCCCACUAUGAGACGGAGGGCAGCCGUGGUGCUGUCAAAGCCCCGACAGGAGGCCACCCUGUGGUGCAGCUCCACGGCUACAUGGAGAACAAGCCCCUGGGACUUCAGAUCUUCAUUGGGACAGCCGAUGAGAGAAUCCUUAAGCCACACGCCUUCUACCAAGUACACAGGAUCACGGGCAAAACCGUUACCACCACCAGCUAUGAGAAGAUUGUGGGCAACACCAAGGUCCUGGAAAUCCCCCUGGAGCCAAAGAACAACAUGAGGGCCACCAUCGACUGUGCCGGCAUCCUGAAGCUUCGAAACGCCGACAUCGAACUGCGGAAGGGCGAGACAGACAUCGGCAGGAAGAACACGCGAGUGCGCCUGGUGUUCCGCGUGCACGUCCCGGAACCCAGUGGCCGCAUCAUCUCCCUGCAGGCGGCAUCCAACCCCAUUGAGUGCUCUCAGCGCUCUGCCCAUGAGCUGCCCAUGGUGGAGAGACAAGACGUGGACAGCUGCCUGGUCUACGGGGGCCAGCAGAUGAUCCUCACGGGACAGAACUUCACGGCUGAGUCCAAGGUGGUGUUCAUGGAGAAGACCACAGAUGGGCAGCAGGUUUGGGAGAUGGAAGCCACGGUGGAUAAAGACAAGAGCCAGCCUAACAUGCUUUUUGUUGAGAUCCCCGAGUAUCGGAACAAGCACAUCCGAGUACCCGUAAAAGUGAACUUCUACGUCAUCAACGGAAAGAGAAAACGAAGUCAGCCACAACACUUUACCUACCAUCCAGCCCCUGCCAUCAAGACGGAGCCCGAUGAGUAUGACCCUUCUCUGAUCUGCAGCCCUGCCCAUGGAAGCCUGGGGAGCCAGCCAUAUUACCCACAGCACCCAAUGCUGGCCGAGUCCCCCUCCUGUCUUGUGGCUACCAUGGCCCCCUGCCAACAGUUCCGCUCGGGGCUGUCAUCCCCCGAUGCUCGCUACCAGCAGCAGAGCCCCGCGGCAGCUCUCUACCAGAGGAGCAAGAGCCUGAGUCCAGGCCUGCUGGGCUACCAGCAGCCGGGCCUCCUGGCAGCACCCUUGGGCCUGGCCGAUGCCCACCGCUCUGUGCUGGUGCAUGCUGGUUCUCAGGGCCAGGGCCAGGGCUCCACCCUGCCACACACAUCCUCGGCUACCCAGCAGGCCUCGCCCGUGAUUCACUACUCACCCACCAACCAGCAGCUUCGUGGCGGGGGGCACCAGGAGUUUCAGCAUAUCAUGUACUGUGAGAACUUCGGCUCUGGUUCAGCCAGGCCUGGCCCACCUCCCAUCAACCAAGGCCAGAGGCUGAGCCCAGGCUCCUACCCCACAGUCAUCCAACCACAGACUGCCCUGAGCCACAGAGCUACCAAAAACGGACCCCCAGUCAGUGACCAGAAGGACGCUAUGCCCACUGGAGUGACAGUCAAACAGGAACAGAACCUGGACCAGACCUACCUGGACGACGUUAAUGAAAUCAUCAGGAAGGAGUUUUCAGGACCUGCCCCCCAAAAUCAGACCUAAAAACAGUCAUUAUUGCAAGACGCCUUCCAUCUUGGACCCCUUCUGUCUCCCCCUGCCUUCUCUGACUGGAACACUGUGUGUGGGCACAGCGCAGGCUGUUGGUGUAGGAGCCUGGUGCCUCUCAACGCUUAGCUGAGCUGUUGUCCAUGACUGGAUGAAAAAGCCACUGCCUGCUGACCAAAGCCCCAUUCUCAACUCACCAGGAAGCUGAACUUGCCAGAGACCUGGAAGCUGGCCUGGGGGAGAGAACUGGGGACCUUCGAUAGAGUCCCAGCCCACGGACAUGGCUCCUCUCUCUCUUGACCGGUGUUUAGACAGAGCAACCAAAAGAACAUGGCCCAAGAGCCCAACUUUUGGGCCCGAGAACCCCAGGUCUCUGUAGGAGCCAAAACCGGAGCGUCUCAUCUCUGCCCCAGCUGGGCCAUAGCAGAGCUUUGUUUGUUUUCAGUCUUCUUUCCGAAGCCAAACUGCCUUGCCCUGACAGGACCACCUGUUCCAACUCCCGGCCUUAAGUUAUAACACGUGUACAUUGUUUGCUAGCUUCUGGGCCUUUGUUUUUCUCUGCUUCAAAGAGCCAAACAAGGAGUCCGCAGGCUGGGCCCUCUCAGCCAGCUACUCCCUAACCCUGCUGCCUGCACCAGACCUCUGGUGGGAUCCAGCUCGGGCUGCCUGUUGAGAACAAAGCUUCCAAAGGCUCCUCUCCACCCUCCUCCCAAACAGAGCCGCCUCCUCCCCGGAGCCAGAAGAACCUUCUGGGUCCUUGCAUUGACUGUUACAGAGCUGAAGCCACUGAAGCCACCUAACCCAAUCAAAACCUGCAGGUGUUUGUCAUGACUGCCGCCAAACAGAACGACGGGGCUGAAAUCUCCCCCUACCCUAAACUCAAAGCCGGAGCGCGCUGGCAAGCCCCAUUGUUCUGUUUCUUACCUGGAUGCACAUAACGUCACUGUGGAAUCCGAGACACUGCCAUAAAAACAAAUCCAAAGGCUUGGCUUGGCUCCCCAUCAGGACCUCGGGAUAGGAGAGAGGGAACUGGGACGAGAGAGCAUCUUUUUCUUGCUUGAGAAAGAUACAGAUUCCUUCAACCUCAAGCCUGGGUUGUCCCUGAGAAUUGUACACAAAGGGUUUAGUUGGUAGUUUUGAUUUAAAGCCACCAAAUCCUGUCUUUUCAUGGACAAGAUCCUAAAGGCAGGCUGAUGCUGUCAGAACCAACCGUGUGGAGUCCUCACAGGAGACCCCACGUGCGGCAUCCAAAGGACAGCCACCUUUUGUCCAGCACACACAACCAUGGACAAAGUGAGCUGGUUCCUCCCAAGACCUGGGAUAGCUCGUUCACGUCCAGUGGUCUAGUCAUCCGUCACAUCACCACCAACCCUCAGCACCAGUGGCACCGCCACACAGAGAGGUCGGAAGCAAUGUACUUUGAUUGUCACUCAGAACCAAAGAGAGACUGAGUUGGUUUGGUUUUGCACCACAGCGCUCAGCAUUGACAGACUGUCAGGGAGCUGCUGUGUUCAUUAGGCACUCCGGAAAAGACACAGGGGUGGCCAGGCCAGGAUAGACGUUCCUGAACUCUGCGGGAAGGGCAGCCUUGAGGAACCUGACACACCCUCACCGCGUCUCCCAACUUUGGCCAUCAAGCUUCAUGGACCCAAACCAGCCAGAGCGAGAGCUUCUCCUGCAGUUCUGCCCGCUGCUAAAAUGAGGCGACAUCACCUUCACUGCUGACCGACUCACCCGUGCCUUGACAUACAGCUGCCAUCCUUGUCUUAACCCCGUUUGUUUACACCUAACUCCAGUGUUGGGCAAGAGCAGUGCUUCCCUGAGCUGCCCCUCUGGGAUCACAGAGGGGUCCUGGCAGUCAAAGGGUUAAUGCUGUCUCUAGGCAGCCCCUGGGACAGAUGGGAAUAAAGUUCCCUGCCCUUUCAGGUUUUGGAUGGACUGGGUGCUGAUGGUGCUGUUGCUGUGUGACUAGGAGCCACAGCAUUCUGGUUGGCCAGAGCAUACUGUGGGAGCAUCCCAGACAUCCUAUCAGAGACGCCCCUGCUCCCUGUCACCUCUCAGCCCUCACAGGGAGUCUCACCAUCCUAGAGGUUGCCCCGGUGAUGCCUGAAGACCAGGGUUUGGGAAAAAUCCCGACUGUCUUGAGGAGUCAGAAUAUAUCGCAUUCCUAUGCAAAACAAUUUUAAUCUCCAGUUUCAUGUAGUUUAUUUUUGCUAUAUGUAAAGUAUUUUUAUAUGGCUUGUAUGAUGACAGCUU